rnacentral:rRNA from 1 species
CACUUCUAAGGAAGGCAGCAGGCGCGCAAAUUACCCAAUCCUGACUCAGGGAGGUAGUGACAAGAAAUAACAAUAAACCGGCUUAUGCCGGUUUAAUUGGAAUGAGUACAAUUUAAACAUCUUAACGAGGAACAAUUGGAGGGCAAGUCUGGUGCCAGCAGCCGCGGUAAUUCCAGCUCCAAUAGCGUAUACUAAAGUUGUUGCAGUUAAAAAGCUCGUAGUUGGAUUUCUGUGGGGACGGAGCGGCCGGCCGCAACACGCGGUUCGAGCUAGCGCUUUCCCUACAUCCUGCCGCGAACCGUGCUACCAUUAGUUUGGUGGCGCCGGGGAUCGGCUCGAUUACUUUGAGAAAAAUAGAGUGUUCAAAGCAGGCCACACGCCUUGAAUAAGUUAGCAUGGAAUAAUAACUAAGGACUUCGGUUCUAUUUUGUUGGUGUUCGGGACUGAAGUAAUGAUUGAUAGGGACAGUUGGGGCGGUCUGUAUUCCAAAGCGAGAGGUGAAAUUCUUAGACCUUCGGAAGACAAACAGCUGCGAAAGCGUUCCGCAAGGAUGUUCCCUUUGAUCAAGAACGAAAGUUGGGGGAUCGAAGACGAUCAGAUACCGUCGUAGUCUCAACUAUAAACUAUACCAGCUAGGGAUCGGCCAACGUUAUUUUAUACCGACUUGGUCGGCACCUUAUGAGAAAUCAAAGCAUCUGGGUUCCGGGGGGAGUAUGGUCGCAAGGCUGAAACUUAAAGGAAUUGACGGAAGGGCACCACCAGGAGUGGAGCCUGUGGCUCAAUUUGACUCAACACGGGAAAACUUACCAGGUCCAGACAUAGUAAGGACUGACAGAUUGAUAGCUCUUUCUUGAUUCUGUGGGUGGUGGUGCAUGGCCGUUCUUAGUUGGUGGAGUGAUUUGUCUGGUUAAUUCCGUUAACGAACGAGACCCCAGCCUGCUAAAUAGCGCGCGUGAGCUUUGCUCGCGGCGAGCUUCUUAGAGGGACUCUGAUGCGCGAUAGCACAUGGAAGUUUGGGGCAAUAACAGGUCUGUGAUGCCCUUAGAUGUUCUGGGCCGCACACGGGCUACACUGGCGCCUGCAACGAGCAUAUCAGCUGGCCCGAGGGGGUCUUGGCUAAUCUUUUGAACCGGCGCCGUGCUUGGGAUUGACCUUUGCAAUUGUUGGUCAUGCAACGAGGAAUGCCUUGUAAACGCGAGUCAUCAGCUCGCAUUGAAUACGUCCCUGCCCUUUGUACACACCGCCCGUCGCUCCUACCGAUGAAUGUUCCGAUGAAAUUUUCGGAGAGUGCCUGUGAACUUGGCUCUGCCUUGCGAACGGGAAGCUCAAAGUCACUUAAAUCUGAACAUUUCGAGG